CGUAAGAAGUUGAGUGGCGGACGGGUGAGUAACACGUGGGUAACCUGCCUAAAAGAAGGGGAUAACACUUGGAAACAGGUGCUAAUACCGUAUAUCUCUAAGGAUCGCAUGAUCCUUAGAUGAAAGAUGGUUCUGCUAUCGCUUUUAGAUGGACCCGCGGCGUAUUAACUAGUUGGUGGGGUAACGGCCUACCAAGGUGAUGAUACGUAGCCGAACUGAGAGGUUGAUCGGCCACAUUGGGACUGAGACACGGCCCAAACUCCUACGGGAGGCAGCAGUAGGGAAUCUUCCACAAUGGACGCAAGUCUGAUGGAGCAACGCCGCGUGAGUGAAGAAGGUCUUCGGAUCGUAAAACUCUGUUGUUAGAGAAGAACACGAGUGAGAGUAACUGUUCAUUCGAUGACGGUAUCUAACCAGCAAGUCACGGCUAACUACGUGCCAGCAGCCGCGGUAAUACGUAGGUGGCAAGCGUUGUCCGGAUUUAUUGGGCGUAAAGGGAACGCAGGCGGUCUUUUAAGUCUGAUGUGAAAGCCUUCGGCUUAACCGGAGUAGUGCAUUGGAAACUGGAAGACUUGAGUGCAGAAGAGGAGAGUGGAACUCCAUGUGUAGCGGUGAAAUGCGUAGAUAUAUGGAAGAACACCAGUGGCGAAAGCGGCUCUCUGGUCUGUAACUGACGCUGAGGUUCGAAAGCGUGGGUAGCAAACAGGAUUAGAUACCCUGGUAGUCCACGCCGUAAACGAUGAAUGCUAGGUGUUGGAGGGUUUCCGCCCUUCAGUGCCGCAGCUAACGCAAUAAGCAUUCCGCCUGGGGAGUACGACCGCAAGGUUGAAACUCAAAGGAAUUGACGGGGGCCCGCACAAGCGGUGGAGCAUGUGGUUUAAUUCGAAGCAACGCGAAGAACCUUACCAGGUCUUGACAUCCUUUGACCACCUAAGAGAUUAGG
rnacentral:rRNA from 2 species